UGAGUACUUUGUGGCUCAGUCAAGUGU
rnacentral:piRNA from 1 species